GGAAACGCCCGGUUACAUACCGAACCCGGAAGCUAAGC
rnacentral:rRNA from 1 species